GACGAACGCUGGCGGCGUGCUUAACACAUGCAAGUCGAACGCAGUGGCGAACGGGUGAGUAACGCGUAAUCAACCUGCCCUUCAGAGGGGGACAACAGUUGGAAACGACUGCUAAUACCGCAUACUGAAGGAGGGGAUUGCGUCUGAUUAGCUAGUUGGGGGGGUAACGGCCCACCAAGGCGAAGAUCAGUAACCGGUCUUGGAAGGUGAACUGGCACAUUGGGACUGAGACACGGCCCAAGCUCCUUAGGGGGGCAACAAGGGGGGAACUUCCGGAAUGGGAGAAAGUCCGAAGGAGCAACGCCGCGUGAGUGAUGACGGCUUUCGGGUUGUAAAGCUUUGUUAAUCGGGAAGCGGUACCGAAAUAGAAAGCCACGGCUAACUACGUGCCAGCAGCCGCGGUAAUAC
rnacentral:rRNA from 1 species